ACAGUUCUUCGAUCGUGGACAAUCCAAGCAUUCCAAAUAAACAAGUGCUUGUUGUUCCACAAAUGUCUGAAAUCUCUCAUACAAUGUGAGGAAAAGGGUGGGUUCAAUCCAAAAGGAUCGCCAUAUUUUUUAAAGGUACUAACGGGCCCAAAACGGACAUCGUAUACGAAAGUCACCCUCCAUUCUUCGUUCGUCGACAAUCCAAAAGGGUCGCUACAUUUCGAAAAUGUACUUAUGGGC
rnacentral:lncRNA from 1 species